rnacentral:rRNA from 1 species
UGGGGAAUAUUGCACAAUGGGCGCAAGCCUGAUGCAGCAACGCCGCGUGAGGGACGACGGCCUUCGGGUUGUAAACCUCUUUUAGUAGGGAAGAAGCGAAAGUGACGGUACCUGCAGAAAAAGCACCGGCUAACUACGUGCCAGCAGCCGCGGUAAUACGUAGGGUGCGAGCGUUGUCCGGAAUUAUUGGGCGUAAAGAGCUCGUAGGCGGUCUGUCGCGUCUGCUGUGAAAACCCGAGGCUCAACCUCGGGCCUGCAGUGGGUACGGGCAGACUAGAGUGCGGUAGGGGAGAAUGGAAUUCCUGGUGUAGCGGUGGAAUGCGCAGAUAUCAGGAGGAACACCGAUGGCGAAGGCAGUUCUCUGGGCCGUAACUGACGCUGAGGAGCGAAAGCGUGGGGAGCGAACAGGAUUAGAUACCCUGGUAGUCCACGCCGUAAAACGUUGGGCGCUAGAUGUGGGGCACCAUUCCACGGUUUCCGUGUCGCAGCUAACGCAUUAAGCGCCCCGCCUGGGGAGUACGGCCGCAAGGCUAAAACU